rnacentral:snRNA from 1 species
UUACCUUGUUCUUUUGUUUAUCG